UAUAUAUGACUUAGAUUUUAUAAUUUAUAUAUUAUAUUGGAAAUAAUAGGAACAAAAUUUGAACUAAUUUAAAUAGGAUAAACAUUGUUUUCUUUUGUUCUGAAGUGAAAAUAUAGAUCAGACCCUUUUCUUCAGUUCACUGUGGUUGCCUCAAAUGGCUUAAAGCUACUGAGUUAACAAAGUUAGACUCUCCUCAAUUUUUUAAUGUAUUAAAAUAAAAGUCUCUUCCACUAAAACAUUCACUAGAAUUAUCAAAUCUUCACCAGCGAAGUUUAGUCAUUAGAUAGAUGGAUGGGUUUUUACUCCUCCUAUCAUUUUUAAUUGUCAUGGAAUUACAUGUAUCCUCCCUAAACCAGUACAAUGUAUGCUUUUCUUGGUUCAGUUGAAAGGGAUGCAUCCAAGGAAAGAUAAGUUAUUCCUUUAUCACCAAAACAUUUAUUAAAUGUCUGUAUUUUUAGGGGGCAGUGCUGAGUGUUAUAAAUGGGAAUUAAUUAGGCUAAAUUCCUGCCUGUAUCUCUAUUACAACAGAAGAUAGACAACAACGAUGCAGGAAUUUUAAGGCCAUUCAUUCAACAUGCGGGAUGCGUUCAGCAUGGGGAUGCAAACAAAUAAGUUUUUACCGUGAACAUUUGCAUCCUUGAUCACAGUAUAUUAGUGUACUGGGUGAAAAGGGUGAUGCACACCAUGUGAUUAAUUGCCACCCACCAAACAUCGUAAGAAAGAUCGCUGCCAAAAUCCUAUGACUCGACAGAGUGCUGUCCAAAUGAAAGCAUGGUAAGAAGGGGUAGGCACAGUGUUUUUUUUUUUUUAAUCAUCUAUAUCCAAUCUCAGAAAUUACUAACAGAAAGGGAUUUCCAGCUUGCAUCUGCUUUACACAUUUUAAAAAUCCUUUAUCUGCUGUAGGGAAAAAUGUUAAAUAGGGAAUAAAGUAGUUAUUGACAAACAUCACAGAGAAGCACACGAGAGUAGUGGAUACUUCUUAUACUCAUAGAGAUUUAAGCACAUGCUUAGAGAAUUAUACACAUUUUAUAUAUUACAUAUACUCAGCACACCAACACAUUAUUUACUUUACCUAUACUCCCCAUCUCUACAUGGGAAGAUCUUAUUAAUCUUACCACAUCUCUAUCUCAAACUCAUUCCCUCUUCAUCUUUUUCAGGACAAUCAAAUUAACAUAAGUUGUGAAUCAUUUUGGUCUGGAUAAUUACAAUAAUCUCCUAGCCAUUUUUUUUAAAUUUCCCGUUAUUGUAUUUCAUACAGUAUUGCUUCUGAGCAAGAAACUCACUUCAAAACAAAAGAAGUGCAAGAAUGGGCUCAUGCUCAUGGAUUUCACUGAUUUUACCAUGUUCCCCACCAAUCUGAAGCAGCUGGCUUAAUAGAAUGGUGGAAUGUUCUUUUGAAGACUGAAUUACAGCACCAGCUAGGUAAUAAUACCUUUCAGGGCUGGAGCAAGAUUCUCCAGAAGGCUCUGAAUCAGUGUCAUUAUGUGGUACUCUUUCUCUGAUAGCCAGGAUAUAUAGGUCUAGGAGUCAAGGAGUGGAAAUGGGAGUGGCAUCACUCACAAUUACCUUUGGUGACCCACUAGCAAAAUUUUUGGUUCCUGUUUCUGCAGCUUUAAUUUCUGUCAGCCUAGAGGUCUUAGUUCCACAGAAACAAAUGCUUCUACCAGGAGACACAACAAUGAUUUCAUUGUGUUGGAUGUUAAGACUGCCACCUGGCCAUUUUGGGUUCCUCAUGCCUUUGAGUCAACAGGCAAGAAGAAAGUUGUGGUGUUGGCUGGGGUUAUUAAUCCUGAUGAUGAAGGGGAAAUUGAACUAAUCCUCCUCAAUAAAGGGAGAAACAGAAAUAACGAAGGAUGAAAAUUUGGAGAGGCACUGUUUUUAGUAAUAGUCUUACAUAUGAGUAAUAGCCAUUGGCAGUGGAGCAAGAUGGUGGAACAGAAGCUUACAACCUUUAUCUCCCUGUUGGAACACAAAAUUCUAACAACUAUCUAAACAGUACAGUCACAAGAACUAAAAAUCAGUCACUACUAUGGCAAGAUCAAGACUGGAUCUAGGAGAUCUCGGUUCAAUAUGGAGAUUAUCCAGAGAUUCUACUGUUGAAGCCAGAUGCUAUAACUGAAGAGGGUUAAAACUGUCUCCUUUUGGGACACCGGUAAACUGGAUUUUUGCUAUGAGAGGAAGUUUCAUAGUACAAGACAGGAAGUUUUUUUGAUUAGAAUGGGCAAAAGAUUUUAUAUGAAUUCUAGGUUGCCAAAGAGAUAAUUGCUAGUGGGAAUGUUGUGAACCUAUCAUGCACAUGUUUACCUUAUUUGGGAUUAAAAUCCAUACUAUGGGCUGGGCGUGGUGGCUCACGCCUGUAAUUCCAGUACUUUGGGAGGCCGAGGCGGAUGGAUCAUGAGGUCAGGAGUUUGAGAAGAUCCUGACUAACAUGGUGAAACCCUGUCUCUACUAAAAAUACAAAAAUUAGCCGGGCAUGGUAGCAUGCAUCUGUAGUCCCAGCUACUCCAUUCCACUCCAGUCUGGGUGACAGAGCAAGACUCUGUCAAAAAAAAAAAAAAAAAAAAAAAUCCUUAGUAUGUAAAUCUUGGAGGAAGCCAGAAUUUAAGGUCAGACUGAAAAGGUCAUAUAUUCUUCUUUCUUUCCCCUGGCACCUAGAGCAGGGCAACUGACUAGGUUCAACCUACUGGAUGGCCUACUUUGAAUUUUCAGGAAGUAAUACAAAAUUUAAAAAGGUCUGUGAAAAAUUAUUGACCAUCGCUGUGUUCACGGCAGCUGUGCCCAGUGACAGUAGGUCUGGUUCAGUGGUAUUCAGGAACAACAGAGUGAGUGGUUCUUGUGUUCCAACCAGGAAAUUCCUCCAGUGGAAAUUACCUGUAUUUUCUGAUGUUUGACCUUCCUGUUUUCCCAAAUAUGGUUAUCAAGCUUUUGAGUUAAUUCUAAUAUCUACUCAGUAGGCUCCUGUCUAUUGAAUCUUUUCAGGAUUCAAAUCCAACUUCAACAUUACCUCCAAUCAAAUGCUCUCCCUGGACCCUACAUUGCUAAUUGAAAUGCCAUUCUAAAAGCUUCAUAUUAUAGCUCCUGUCAUGGCACUUCUCAUAUUUUGUUAUAAUUGUUUUCUUUGUCAUAUUAACUUCCCAAGUAGAAAGUCGAAAGGACUAAAACUUUCCUGUGGUUAAGAAAAUCUAGCCUCAUAUAAGGUUUGAUAAAGUAGGAAUCCUGCAACUGUGUUUCUAAUCAAUGAGUAUAGUUGACCUCUGGUUGUUACCUUACAUAGUUACUAAGUUAUUGCCUCUCAGCUCACGCUGUUUCUUCUACACUCUGCGCUGUGAAGCUGGACUGGAAAUCUGCAAGCUUCAUGUCUGCUUUGCCAGCUGCCUUCCUCUUAGCCUUGGCUAGUAGAAAGCACUAGAGGGAGCUGUAAGGAUGGAAGAGGGAAAAGAGACUUGCUCCAUUUUGUUUGUUUGGUGCUGGCUUCCCAUUUGCUUCCUGUCAUUGAGCAUCACCUUAGCCUCAUCUCACCUCUUCCUGCUGGUAGCAGCAGUUUGUCUCUGUAGAAUGUUUAAUUGACUUUGCAGUUCUUCAACAUUUGCAGAAUCACUCUCAAUGUGCUCCUGCAAAAACAGCAGCCCCUGAUGCUGUCAAUCAGCAUUCCUCUUCAGAGGCCUGGGUCCUAGUCCCAUAAGAUAUUUCCCUCAAGCAAAGAGACACAGGCAUGGGUGAAGCAGCACACUUUAUCUGAGGUCUGAGUUUCAGCUCUGCACAGAUCUUCCUCCAAGACUGUGUUUGCAUACCCGGUCAUAGUAGGGUAGCUGCAGCCUAUAGAAACUCCUUCCAUAACAAUGCAAUUCUUUUUCUUUUUGCCAUUUUAAGUCUUUAGUACCUAAUUAACAAUUGUUUAUAUAAAACCAUUUCUGUUAAAAUAACUGACUUGAUUUUGUCUUCUGAAUGGACCCUAACUGAUACACAAUCAUUCUAGAGUAGUAUAUGCAAAAGCAUGCUUGAUGGUACCCUGAACUGUUCUGGCCCAUUUAAACCACAAGUAGCCAGAAAAGUGCAUCCUUCUACAUGUGAUAUAUUGACUCAGAGAACUAGAACAAUCCAGGUGCUUAGGCCAAUUUGAAUUGUAUUUUCAGUAUUCAAAAUCAAAAGAUGUAAUGAGGAUGUUCAUGUUUUACUCUAUUUUUGUAUUGUUUAUUUACAAAAUUAAUCAUGUCAGGGUAUUGCAUAUAACAGAUUAUGUCCUCAAAUUGGAUAAUUUGAGAUGAAAUUAAUAAAAUGAUGACCUACAAACCUGGAACAGGGUAUAGAGAAAUCAAAAGAGAUUUCUGUACCCCAGGGCCAGUUAUAGUGGAGAGAACUGUUAUCACCCUUAUAUCUGAAAGGACUAAAACCCGUAGAGCGAUUUGUGUAGCAAGCAUCACCCGUCAAGAGCUGUGACCUUUGGCAGAGUUAUACAAUCAACCUGCAGAAAAGAAGCGAGGAAAAUAAAUUUUCCUACCUACCUCUGAUCUCCUGCCAGGAAUAUCCAUUAGCCAAACUCAACUAGAAACUGCAGGGCAAGGGAAACACUUGAUGCAGUUCAUAGAGAUCAUUGUCCUGUGGGUCUACCAGGGAGCAGUGGAGGGCAGAAGAUCUGAUGGAGUGAAUGGAAUACAGCUUCAAAAAAUGGGUUAAUUAUAAGCAUAAUUGAGAUAUUUUUAAUAAUGGAACAUUUUCAGGAAGAAAUCUUUUUGAAUAAAUGAGGAAUAUAUUCUGAGGGCAGGGAGAGAAUGGGAUGGGAAGAGAGGAGAACAUUUACAAAGCAUUUCUGGAAGCAUAGAAGUUAAAUAUCAAAGAAAAACACUGUCAUCAGAAAACAUGAGAGGAAUUGGAAAUAUAAGUGUUCUAAAUAACUUUUUUACUUUUAACAAUAAAUACAGAUUUUUAACACACUUUCAUCUUGAUUCUGGGAAGCAUUUUAGUGCUCAGUAGCAUUAAGAAACACUGAAACAGAUUGACAAAUACCUCCAAACAUAUAUAACAUGUGUAUGUAUGUAUGCUUUAACAUUUCAAAAUAUAAUGUGCUAAGUUUCAAAGCAUUUAUAAUUAAUUAAGCUGUUUUCACAGCCCUUUAGAAGAAUAUUUUUCCAGGAUAGCUGACUGCAUAAUGCUUUGCAUGAUUUAUUUAUAGACUACUAAUGAAGACAUAUCUAAUCAUCAUAAUUAAUUGGUAUUUUUGUGCUUUGGGGCCUAAUCACAAAAUCUUUUACAUGCUGGCUCAAAGUAAACCUGGCUAUGGGGCAAACAUUUAGGACAAAACCUGCUUGUUGUUUUUAAUAUACAGCUCCAUUUUAUUGAUUUGUUUAUUCAACAUUUCUGACUCUGAUUAUACAAUGCCAGUAUAAGUAGCCCAUUUUGGUCAAUUUAACUUUUUAAAAUACUUUCUUAAACAAACAAAAAGAAACCAGAGGAAUCAUAUUUGGCAUAGUAGAUAAAAACUUCAGUUUUUACAUUAUUUAUUGUGUUGUGUUACUAUCAGAUAGUGAUACUGUUUAUAAGAAUUUUGAUUACCUUGAAGUGAAA